AUGGAUGAGGUAAAGCCAUUGUGAUAGGAGCCUUCUAAGAUAGCCCCUAUGAUCCUUACCUCCCGAUAUGCACAUCGUUAGGUUCUCCCUUUCCCUAGAGUAGAUAAGAAUGGAUUUAUUGACUCACCAUUGGGAAAUAGGACACAGCAAUUAAGAGGAGAUGUCUUUUUGAGAUUAGGUUACAAAAAGACUGGUUUGCAUCUUGGAUCUUGGCCAUCCUCUCUUGCUCUCUUCUUUGCUUGUUCUGAGGGAAGUUGGCUGCCCUGUGAGGGGGCUCACCUGGAAAAUAACUGAGGAAGGCCUCUCAUCAAGACCAUUGAAGAACUGAGCUUCAAGCCUCUCCAUCCAACAAGCUGAUGGGAAGUAGAUCCUCCCCACAAUCACUGUACCAACUUGACCAUGGACACCAAGGCUUCAAUCUUGAGGUGAAUUUCAAAACAUUUAUCAAGAGAGAAGAGGUUUGGGGUAUGUUUUUUUUUACUAUUACACAGAAGUAUUUCACAGUUUUCACUACUGCCACAUGGUUGUUAAAAUAUGGGGGACAUCUAAAUGUCAGUUAUAUUUAUACCAUUUCAUGUGAUGAAGAACUUCAGGAAUUCUAGAUUAGUUGCAUUGUCAAAAUCUCUGGGUCUCUGCCUCUGUCUAGCAAAGGGCUAAUUCAGAGAACUUCUGAAUAGUUCAGUAUGUUUGAGAGGUAAGGGAAGAUGCCUGUCAGGAAUUGAAGAACCAAACAAGGGCAAAUUAUGAACAAGUUGUGUCCUUGAGUUCCAAUGCUAGGUUCUUUGCCAUGAUGGGAAGCUGUAUUUAAACUGUGUGUGGAUGAAGAAUAAGAAGUUUAGAUCUUUGUUUUAAGAAGAUCACCCCGGUUGCGUGUGGUAGAUGGACUAGAUGGAGGCAAAGAGAAAGAGGGGAUGCUUGUGAAAUUUCCAGAUGACAUAAAGCUGGGUGGAGUAGUUAUAAUAACAGAUGACAGAAGCAAAAUUCAUAGUGAUUUCAUCAGACUUGAAGAUUGGAUCUAACCAAUGGGAUGAAAUUCAACAGGAAAAAAUGAUAAAGUUUACCAUUUGUGUGUGUGUGUGUGUGUGUGUGUGUGUGUGUGUGUUUGAGUUAAUUGAGAAAGUGCAAGAGGGAGGGGAGCAGUUUUGACACAGUUUGUACAAAAUUCCCUAAAACUUGUGGUGGUGGAUGUGGUCAUGAUUUGGUUGACCACAAGUUGAAUUUGUGCCAACAAUGUACUAAAGAGCUGAACCUUUUGCUUUAUGGAUAGAAACAAAAUAUCUGGCCCCUGGGAAGUAACUCUAUCUUUUGUCAGACAACUUGUUUCAUCUGUGCCCUCCCCCGCCCCGACCCACUUCACCAUUUUAUCAAAAAGCAGGUCUAUUAGUCUCUGAUGGUUUAAGGACCAGCACAUGUUUACCCUUGGACUGGGUGCCGGGAUGAAUGGAAGUUUUCCCUGUAAAGACUUUAUGUAUUGAACCUCUAUACUGGCUUUUCAGAAUGCAUUUUAAUUAUUUUCUUGCCAUUGUCUGCCACUACAGAGGAGAGAAUAGAGAACCUCUUAAAGAAAUAUUUUCCAUUCCUUUUUGUGCUCCAAGUCCAUAGUAUAGUGCCUAAUGCAGUCCAGGCACUUAAUACCAAUGAGAGAGUGAAUGAAUGGGUGAAUGAAUGAAAUGAACUAAUGAGAAAAGUUAAACAGAGCUUUAAUGUAAAAGAGCCGACUGAGCACAUGUAGGUAUGCACAUGUAAGAGUGCAGAGAGCAGUUUUAAUGUGUCUUAAAAAGAAAAUGUACAACCCUGUUA
rnacentral:lncRNA from 1 species